CCAUGCCGCAGAACAGCCUCUUGAUGGCAUGACACAUGCAGCAGCCGCUCAGGCUGAAUAUCACGACGGCAUUCUCGCCGGCGAGUUGCUCUAUACGGUGUAAUGGGUCGUCGUUGAAGCUUGUUGUUGUUGUCGUUGGCAAGUAGGUACCCCAUGAUUCGGUUUGGUAAUGCAUACUUUUUAGACUGUUGGGUUAACUCCCAUGCCGCAGAACAGCCUCUUGAUGGCAUGACACAUGCAGCAGCCGCUCAGGCUGAAUAUCACGACGGCAUUCUCGCCGGCGAGUUGCUCUAUACGGUGUAAUGGGUCGUCGUUGAAGCUUGUUGUUGUUGUCGUUGGCAAGUAGGUACCCCAUGAUUCGGUUUGGUAAUGCAUACUUUUUGUUUUGUUCACUCAGAGAGAAAGCAACGAGAUGAUAUGUAUGAUUUGAAGGAUUCUUC
rnacentral:lncRNA from 1 species